AGCGAACGCUGGCGGCAGGCCUAACACAUGCAAGUCGAGCGGCCGUAGCAAUACGGCAGCGGCAGACGGGAGAGUAACACGUGGGAACGCGCCCUUCGGUUCGGGAUAACUCAGGGAAACUUGGGCUAAUACCGGAUACGCCCUUACGGGGAAAGAUUUAUUGCCGAAGGAACGGCCCGCGUCCGAUUAGCUUGUUGGUGAGGUAGCGGCUCACCAAGGCGACGAUCGGUAGCUGGUCUGAGAGGAUGACCAGCCGCACUGGGACUGAGACACGGCCCAGACGCCUACGGGAGGCAGCAGUGGGGAAGAUUGGACAAUGGGCGCAAGCCUGAUCCAGCCAUGCCGCGUGGGGGAUGAAGGCCCUAGGGUUGUAAAGCCCUUUCAGCGGGGAAGAUAAUGACGGUACCCGCAGAAGAAGCCCCGGCUAACUUCGUGCCAGCCGCCGCCGUAAGAC
rnacentral:rRNA from 1 species